AGAGUUUGAUCCUGGCUCAGAACAAACGCUGGCGGCGUGUCUUAAGCAUGCAAGUCGAACGAGUGAUAUACCUUCGGGUGUUGAACUAGUGGCGAACGGGUGAGUAACACGUAGGUAAUCUGCCCUUCAGUUUGGGAUAGCCCCUGGAAACAGGGAUUAAUACCGAAUACUCUUUUUAUUACAUAAGUAGUGAUAAGGAAAGAUGCAAAUCACUGAAGGAUGAGCCUGCGUCCCAUUAGCUAGUUGGUAGGGUAACGGCCUACCAAGGCGACGAUGGGUAGCCGGCCUGAGAGGGUGAACGGCCACAUUGGGACUGAGACACGGCCCAGACUCCUACGGGAGGCAGCAGCUAAGAAUCUUCCGCAAUGGGCGAAAGCCUGACGGAGCGACGCCGCGUGGAGGAUGAAGGCGUUAUACGUUGUAAACUUCUUUUACAGGGGAAGAUAAUGACUGUACCCUGUGAAUAAGCAUAGGCUAAUUACGUGCCAGCAGCCGCGGUAAGACGUAAUAUGCAAGCGUUAUUCGGAAUUACUGGGCGUAAAGGGUGCGUAGGCGGUCAAAUAAGUCGGAUGUGAAAUCCUACGGCUCAACCGUAGAAUUGCGUUCGAAACUGCUUGACUAGAAUCAGAGAAGGGAAGGCGGAAUUCCUGGUGUAGGAGUGAAAUCUAUAGAUAUCAGGAAGAACACCGGUGGCGAAGGCGGCCUUCUGGCUUAUGAUUGACGCUGAGGCACGAAAGUGUGGGGAGCGAACGGGAUUAGAUACCCCGGUAGUCCACACUGUAAACGUUGUACACUAGGUGUUAGUGGUAUCGAUCCCACUAGUGCCGUAGCUAACGCAUUAAGUGUACCGCCUGGGGAGUACGCCCGCAAGGGUGAAACUCAAAGGAAUUGACGGGGGCCCGCACAAGUGGUGGAGCAUGUGGUUUAAUU
rnacentral:rRNA from 1 species